rnacentral:lncRNA from 1 species
GUCUCCAUAUUUUAUCUUUUGGCCUGAUUUUAUCGGUUAAGAGAUCUUAUCUCCAUAUUCUAUCUUUUAGUCUGAUUUUUAUCGAUCAGAAGAUUUUAUCUCUAUACCUGCCAUCAUGGAGAUUUUUAGACUGGUGUUUCUGCCGCCUGGAAUAAAUGCACCGUACUUUGAUAAUAUCAAAAUUUAUUACUAGGCCGAUUGCGAAGAAACCUGACCUUUUCACGGAUAUGAUUGAUCGCA